UCUGCCCCUCCAUGGUUUGCUCCCUCUCUUUCUCUCUCUUUCUCAGAAAAUAAACAAAUAAACAUUAAACAAACAAAACUGGGGGCUCCCAAACCACCUUCACUUUUGAUAAUUCUCUGGAAGGCCUCCCAGAACUCACAGAGGCACUCCCCGUGGCUGUGGUUCCUGAUGAAGCCAGCUAAGGGAAGAAGUGCAGAGGGCAAAGUGUGGGGGCCUCCACACGCAAAGCUGCUGUCGCCUCCCAUGCAGUCAGGGCGUGUGACACGCCCAGCCUGGGUGUGUGAGGAUUGCAAACCAGGGAAGCUUGUCUGCUGUUCAGUGUUUAUUGGAGCUUCCAGUAUGUAGGCGUGACUGAUUGAUUGAUUGCCCUUGAGGCUGAAGUCAGUCUUCAGGUCAACUUGACGAUGCAUGAUGGGAUCUCCCGACUACAUCACCUGGAUGGGUCUCUCUGGCACGACCAGCCUCCACCUUAGAGUACAGAUUGGCCUGCCCUCGUCUAAACAAAGACGCUUUUAUCAGGUGCGGCAUAGAUUACCUCCCAGAAGGCAAAGACAAAGGCCAGACCUCCUCUUCAGGCAAGCCCAAAGUCUUUACUGCACCACCUGGCCUUUAUCCAAAGCUCUCCUGCAGCAAAAUAAACAUAUGCCCUAACGUUUGGAGGUGGCAGCGUGGAGUAGGAGGCUCUUAACUCAGUUUUCAGACUAUCAGUAUCAGCGGUGCAAUCUUCCCGGUGACACAGUACCAACGUUACACCACAUCACAGUGUGAGGAGUGGACGUAACCUGAAGGGUAAGAGUCACAAGACGGUGGCGUAUUACUGAAAUUCCACUCAAUCAUCGGCAACUGGCCCAACUCGUCAUCAUGUCAUACGGCCACAAUGGGUCCCAAAGCAUUCCCACUCAGGUUUGCAGGUUUCCAUUCAACUCAUCAGUUUCUAGAAACAGGAGAGGUCUCUACCCCCAGAGAUGUCUGCUGAGUGCUCUUAGGAGACCGUCUCGUCUCUUGCUCCGAGCUCCCACCCCCACCCCGCAAGGUGUUAAUGUAAUACUGGAUUUUUCUUGUGGCAUAGCCUAUUUAUUUGUUCUUUUGCCCUUAGCUACUAUUUCUCCUUCUCUCUAUUUGUGAUUUAUUUUUAUUCAGACUAUCUCCUGUUGGAAGGAACGCGCGCGAAGUUCAGCCCGGUGAUCCGCUGUUCCUGAUUGCCUGCACUGACACUACUUGAGGAAAUGCACCCCCCUCAGUCCAUUCCCCUCCAUACAAGAGCUACACAGUCAUACCAGCGUUCUCCCUCACCCCUUCUGCAGAGCCCCCAGAAAAGCAGAGAAAUCUACCGAGUAAGCAACACCCUCAUGAAGAUACCCAUCAAAUAAACUCAGGCUGGACAACUGAAUGAUGAGAGAUCACAUAGAGGAGAGAGGCCCAGCCAGCCCACCCGGAGGCACUAGAAAUAGGAGUGAAGCCAUCUUCAAUUCCUCAGCCCUGGUCAAACCACCCCAGCCAACACUAUGUGGAACAGAGGCUCCACAGAGUUCUGCCGAAUUUGCAGUCACGAGAAAAAAUAAAUGGUACUUUGAGCUGG